rnacentral:rRNA from 1 species
AUUGAACGCUGGCGGCAUGCUUUACACAUGCAAGUCGAACGGUAACAGGCCUUCGGGUGCUGACGAGUGGCGAACGGGUGAGUAAUGCAUCGGAACGUGCCCAAUCGUGGGGGAUAACGUAGCGAAAGUUACGCUAAUACCGCAUAAGCCCUGAGGGGGAAAGCAGGGGAUCGCAAGACCUUGCGCGAAUGGAGCGGCCGAUGUCAGAUUAGCUAGUUGGUGGGGUAAAGGCCUACCAAGGCGACGAUCUGUAGCGGGUCUGAGAGGAUGAUCCGCCACACUGGGACUGAGACACGGCCCAGACUCCUACGGGAGGCAGCAGUGGGGAAUUUUGGACAAUGGGCGCAAGCCUGAUCCAGCCAUGCCGCGUGCGGGACGAAGGCCUUCGGUUGUAAACCGCUUUCAGCCGGAAGAAUACGCCAAGGCUAAUAUCCUUGGUGGAGUGACGGUACCGGAAGAAGAAGCACCGGCUAACUACGUGCCAGCAGCCGCGGUAA